AUAUAGUAAUACCUGUACAGUUGAUGCAAACACAGGUGACAGGGGGUAUCGCUUACACGAGAAUGACACAACCUUUCAAUGCAGUCGGGAAUCCGUGACUCCAGCUGACCAAGAUGACGUCAGCAAUAACAUUCAUUUCAGUUUAGCUUCAAGUGAUAAUGAAACGCAAAAUUCUGAUUUGGGGAUCUAUCAGAUAGAGAAAAAUAUUACAUCAAGCGACGGACGCGCGGAUGCUGACGACAAUUCGCCCGCGGAUGAAAAAGUGAAAAAGGGAAAUUCUAAAAUAAUAACAUUCAUGUCGUACAUUAAGGAGAAAUUAUUGUCCAGUAAAGCUAGCCCGGAUGUGGACAACAAGGAGAAAGAGUUGGAGACGGAUGACGUGGGGAGGGAGACUUGGGGUAAGAAGAUAGACUUCCUGCUGUCCGUGAUAGGGUUCGCCGUGGACCUCGGGAAUGUCUGGAGAUUCCCCUAUAUCUGCUACAAUAACGGCGGGGGGGCAUUCCUGGUGCCAUAUCUGUUGAUGUUAAUUUUCUUGGGACUGCCUUUAUUCUAUAUGGAGUUAGCUUUAGGACAGUAUCAAAAAUGUGGUGCUAUCAGCGUUUGGAACAGAAUUUGUCCAGUUUUCUCGGGUGUGGGGUACGGUAUCUGCCUGGUGUCUACGUUAGUGGGGAUGUACUACAACACCAUUAUUGCGUGGGGCGUCUUCUACAUGUUUGCUUCCUUCCGGUCCGAGGUACCCUGGGCAGGAUGCAAUAACUCGUGGAAUACAGAGAAUUGUAUGUCGCUGUCAACAAACUUUAACAAAAGCCUGAUCACCAAUUUCACACUGACAGCAUCGGAUGAAUAUUAUACGAAUGAGGUACUGGGGGUACAGGGACACAAUGGGAUAGAAGACAUUGGGGCCCCGCGGUGGCAGCUCGUUCUGUCUUUGGCUGCUGUGUUUUUCAUAGUUUACUUCAGCAUAUGGAAGGGAAUUAAGUCAUCGGGAAAGGCAGUGUGGAUCACGGCCACUGUCCCGUAUGUGGUACUGAUAAUUUUACUGAUCCGUGGUUGUACCCUACCUGGGUCAGUGGAGGGCAUCAAAUACUACAUCACACCUGUCUGGGGGAAGCUUCUGGAUGAACAGGUUUGGAUUGAUGCUGCCUCGCAAAUUUUUUUCUCAUUAGGGCCGGGCUUUGGCACUCUCCUAGCACUGGCCAGCUACAACAACUUUCACAACAACUGUUAUUUUGACGCCAUUACUGUGAGUAUCAUUAACUGUAUGACGAGUUUCUUGGCUGGCUUCGUGGUCUUUGCCGUUCUGGGUUAUAUGGCUCAAGCUCAAGGAGUAUCCAUAGAAAAUCUACCUACCAAUGGACCUGGGCUUGUUUUUGUGGUUUACCCAGAGGUCAUAGCUACACUAGAUGGCUCUGUUUUCUGGUCCAUCAUCUUUUUCCUUAUGCUGAUCACACUGGGUUUAGAUAGCACUUUUGGUGGUUUGGAGGCUGUUAUAACGGCGAUUUGUGACGAGUACCCUUUGAUGAAGCGAAACCGGGAACUCUUCGUGCUUGGUUUGGUUCUUGUCUGCUUUCUGGGAGGGCUUCCAACUGUUACAAAUGGUGGGCAGUACGUCAUCAACUUACUGGACAAUCAUGCCGCUCCGAUUUCUCUGCUCUUUAUCUGCUUCAUUGAGGCUAUUGCUGUCAACUGGUUCUAUGGUUGCCAGAAAUUUUCGAAUGAUAUUGAAAGUAUGCUUGGCCAUCAACCAGGGAUUUUCUGGAAGAUUUGCUGGGUUGGGAUAUGUCCAAUCUGUCUCUUGAUUUUGUUUGUGUUAUCGUGUUGGAAGUAUGAGGGGCUAGAGCUGAUGGGUUAUGUCUACCCCCCGUGGGCCGUGGCCGUGGGGUGGUGCAUCACCGCGUCCUCUAUCCUCUGUAUCCCUGUCUAUGGUGUCUAUAGAUUUAUCAUCACUCCCGGUACCUUGAAACAGAAAGUCCUACGGCUGAUUCGACCCUCGGUGGUUUCGGAUCAUUUGGUGCUCAAUGGAGGCUCAUAUAACAAAGACUCGUAUUCAAUUUCUAUGAAUCAAACGAACCUAUCUAACUCGGUCACCAUGGAGAGUGCUAUUUCUCUGAAAAUGAAUGGAGAUAGUCACAAUGUGUGAUUGUUGUAUUUAGGGCCCCAGAAGACAUUGUAUUUUAUGAUACAAAUGUAUAUCAUUUAUAUAUAGUGUACAAUACAUGUAUGUUUUAUAUAUAUCAUGCAGUAGUCAUGUUUUAAAAUCAGCAAAUAUAAGUACCAAUUACGUUGAUGUCGGUUAUAUAUGAAUACAACUGUUAAACUCUUUACAACUACCAUCCUUUUUAUGCUGGAUUAAAAUGUAAUAAGAAUUGUCUGUGGUUGCAUAAGUACGCCCGUACAUUGGAUUUUUCUGGUUCAACAAAACACAUGCAUAUUUGAUUAUUAAUGCUAUAAUACGUUUACAUGUUCAUGUAUAUUUAAAUUGAAGCAAGCAUUUGUCUUUUAUUCUCUCAUCAGAGAACAUCGUUGUCUCGUUGUAAUUUUGUAGCUAUAUAUAUGUAUGCCGUUUUUAUAGCUUAAAUUAAGAGUCCCGAUCGUUCGAUGAAAUUGUUAGACUUGAUACGUCUACGCAUUGUAAAUACACAUCCGGUGAGACCUGAUAUAAUUACCUCAUUAGGAAACCUUGGUUUCUUUUGCCAUGAUUUCUUUUGUAUUACGUCAUUAAUCAUUCAUACAAAAUCUGUUUUUACAUAUUAUAUAUAUAGUUUUCAGAAACAUUAUAUUGAUUGCGGUCAUUUUAUAGCUAUGUUAUUUUAAUGUAGCUAUUUUAUUAUUGCUUUACGUAUUAAUUUUUAUGUUAUAUAAAAUCAUAAGAAUUAGAUUGAAGUCCUUUAUACUUAUUUGAUACCACAUGACAGAUACUAUAAAUGAUGAAUUUUUUUGUACUUGAAAUAUAAUAUUUUUGGUUCAUUUUUUGUUCUGAAUUCAAACGCUUUUGAAGUACAUUAACUGAUAUUGUCAAUUUCAACGGACAAUUUCCAGUGAAUUUCUACUCAAAUUUAUUGCCAUUUUAUUCUUUAUUUCGGCUGUAUAAAUGACAAAUCACUAAUCUAAAUUGCCUUUUGGGACCAAUUCUUAUUACACGACCAAAAAAUAAUGUUCUUUUCGUUGAUGAAUAUGGUGUUCAAAUACAUCUGUUUUUGCUAUUUCUUUCUCAUGGUGCUUAAUCAUAAAUACUUAUUUACUUGUAUAUAUGUUAUCGUUUGUCAAGAACUUACUAUUACGGAAUAUAUCAUUUUUAUAUAUCGACAAAUCGGGUAUAAAUGUGUGCAUCUAAAUGUUGAAUUAAAUCAAGGUUAGUUUUUCAG
rnacentral:misc_RNA from 1 species